UACGAAGGGGGCUAGCGUUGUUCGGAUUCAUUGGGCGUAAAGGGUGCGUAGGUGGCGCCAUAAGUCAGGUGUGAAAUCUCGGGGCUCAACCCCGAAACUGCAUUUGAUACUGUGGUGCUCGAGUACUGGAGAGGAGAUUGGAAUUUACGGUGUAGCAGUGAAAUGCGUAGAUAUCGUAAGGAAGACCAGUGGCGAAGGCGAAUCUCUGGACAGUUACUGACACUGAGGCACGGAGGCCAGGGGAGCAAACGGG
rnacentral:rRNA from 1 species